GACGAACGCUGGCGGCGUGCUUAACACAUGCAAGUCGAACGGUAAGGCCCUUCGGGGUACACGAGUGGCGAACGGGUGAGUAACACGUGGGUGAUCUGCCCUGCACUUCGGGAUAAGCCUGGGAAACUGGGUCUAAUACCGGAUAGGACUCCGGACUGCAUGGUCUGGGGUGGAAAGCUUUUGCGGAGUGGGAUGGGCCCGCGGCCUAUCAGCUUGUUGGUGGGGUGAUGGCCUACCAAGGCGACGACGGGUAGCCGGCCUGAGAGGGUGACCGGCCAGACUGGGACUGGGAUACGGCCCAGACUCCUACGGGAGGAAGCAGUGGGGAAUAUUGCACAAUGGGCGCAAGCCUGAGGCAGGGACGCCGCGUGAGGGAUGACGGCCUUCGGGUGGUAAACCUCUUUCAGCAUCGACGAAGCGAAAGUGACGGUAGGUGCAGAAGAAGGACCGGCCAACUACGUGCCAGCAGCCGCCGUAA
rnacentral:rRNA from 1 species